GAUUGGCCUGCUGGCCCAAUGGCAAGGCGCUUGACUACGAAUCAAGAGAUUGCAGGUUGCACGUUCGAUCCUCGCUCCCUCCUCGAUUA